CAAGGACAGUGACGAGCCACGCAGGCGAAUUAUUCAUGAGCCCCAAAAGCAACAUCAAAGGAGCUCAGUGUCUCCAAAAAAGUCACUCACUCAGCAACCGGCUGAGCGUUUUCAAAGCCGACCCGUUCAUGAGUUACAGCCUGAAACUUUCACCCUGCGAGAAGACAUUUCCCUCUCAAUGGCGCCCACCUGGUCUAAGGAAAGAGCGCUUCCACGCUGAGGAUUUGGGAAUCAAAGAGCCUAUUCUCCAACUUGUUUGAAAAGUUUGCAGUUUGUCACAAGUAGUGCUCUGUUGCUGAACAAGAUAACUUUGUGUGGCAUCUGAAAUUGUACAAAGCACCGGUUACGGCAGCAAGCUGCUGGGGGAUAUGCUUCACAUCAGUAAUGAGGAGAAAAACAAACUUUGUCUGGAAGUACCUUUGACUCGGGCAGCAGCACAGGAACAAUCAGCCCCUCCCGGAGCUGCUGGAAGUUUUAAACUCUGCUAACAUGACCUACAGGAAGAAAACGAAAUGCUGAAGGAUGCCACGUACUAGCAGCGGUAACGCUAACGCCAUGACAAUGAUGGAGAGCAACUUAAAAAGGUCAGUAAAGCUUUUGUAUCUGCAACAGAAAAGUAGUAAACCUCCUGGACAAUAUAAGUUAAUGCUGUUAUUAGCUUCACGGACAGCCCAAACAUGUUGUCACGGUGUGACAUUUUGGACUUUGAGUUUGGUGUCUUGUGAUGGUUUAUUUCGU